rnacentral:rRNA from 1 species
AACGAACGCUGGCGGCGCGUUUUAAGCAUGCAAGUCGAACGGUAAGCGAGGGGCAACUCUUGCUGAGAGUGGCGAACGGGUGAGUAACACGUAGACAAUCUAGCCCUGGGACAGGGAUAGCUCAUGGAAACAUGGGGUAAUACCUGGUGAGGCCGGUGGGACUGCGGUUCUGCUGGUGAGAGGCUUCAAUUGGAGCGCCUGGGGGUGAGUCUGCGGUCCAUUAGCUAGUUGGAGGGGUAACGGCCCACCAAGGCGACGAUGGAUAGCCGGCCUGAGAGGGUGUACGGCCACACUGGGACUGAGACACGGCCCAGACUCCUACGGGAGGCAGCAGCUAAGAAUCUUCCGCAAUGGGCGAAAGCCUGACGGAGCGACGCCGCGUGGACGAUGAAGGCCGUAAGGUUGUAGAGUCCUUUUCUCUGUGAGGAAUGAGUGGGGGAGUGGAAAGCCCUCAUGAUGACGGUAACGGAGGAAUAAGCACCGGCUAACUACGUGCCAGCAGCCGCAGUAAAAC